UNUGACUUGAGUGCAGAAGGGGAGAGUGGAAUUCCAUGUGUAGCGGUGAAAUGCGUAGAUAUAUGGAGGAACACCAGUGGCGAAAGCGGCUCUCUGGUCUGUCACUGACGCUGAGGCUCGAAAGCGUGGGUAGCGAACAGGAUUGGAUACCCUGGUAGUCCACGCCGUAAACGAUGAGUGCUAGGUGUUAGGCCCUUUCCGGGGCUUAGUGCCGGAGCUAACGCAAUAAGCACUCCGCCUGGGGAGUACGACCGCAAGGUUGAAACUCAAAGGAAUUGACGGGGGCCCGCACAAGCGGUGGAGCAUGUGGUUUAAUUCGAAUCAACGCGAAGAACCUUACCAGGUCUUGACAUCCCGAUGCUAUUCUUAGAGAUAGGAAGUUACUUCGGUACAUCGGAGACAGGUGGUGCAUGGUUGUCGUCAGCUCGUGUCGUGAGAUGUUGGGUUAAGUCCCGCAACGAGCGCAACCCUUAUUGUUAGUUGCCAUCAUUAAGUUGGGCACUCUAGCGAGACUGCCGGUAAUAAGCCGGAGGAAGGUGGGGAUGACGUCAAAUCAUCAUGCCCCUUAUGACCUGGGCUACACACGUGCUAUAAUGGUCGGUACAACGAGUUGCGAGCCGGUGACGGCAAGCUAAUCUCUGAAAGCCGAUCUCAGUUCGGAUUGGAGGCUGCAACUCGCCUCCAUGAAGUCGGAAUCGCUAGUAAUCGCGGAUCAGCACGCCGCGGUGAAUACGUUCCCGGGCCUUGUACACACCGCCCGUCACACCACGAGAGUUUGUAACACCCGAAGUCGGUGAGGUANCCUUUUAGGG
rnacentral:rRNA from 1 species